UACGAAGGGGGCUAGCGUUGCUCGGAAUCACUGGGCGUAAAGCGCACGUAGGCGGCUUUUAAGUCAGGGGUGAAUCCUGGAGCUCAACUCCAGAACUGCCUUUGAUACUGAGAGCUUGAGUCCGGGAGAGGUGAGUGGAACUGCGAGUGUAGAGGUGAAAUUCGUAGAUAUUCGCAAGAACACCAGUGGCGAAGGCGGCUCACUGGCCCGGUACUGACGCUGAGAUGCGAAAGCGUGGGGAGCAAACAGG
rnacentral:rRNA from 1 species